UCACAAUGCCCUGCUUCAUUUUAGGUUUUCCAAAUUUCUCCUCUGCUUCUCUCAUUUCUUCAGUCUUUUCAUGUUCACUGUCUUCUUCAUUGACUCUUUCAAAUUCAAGCUUCUUAAUUGUAUUUUGUGGUAAGUUUUUCUCGCUUUUUUCUUCCUUAGUUUUUUUUUUUUGCUUCAAUAUUUUUCUUGUGCAAUUACUGAUAUUUUUAGAGAAUAUAAAGACAUGAAGUUUACAGAUGUGACCAUUUUUAUUUUCACUGAUCCAUUUGUGGAAAGGAAAAUUGGAUGAAAAUGACUAUAAACAAAAUAAUAUUUAACAACCAUCCAAACAAGUUGUUGAUGAAGAUGGAGAUACUGUUGCUCAAAUUUCGACAUACAUUCAUCAUCUGAAUCAAAUUUUGAUAUUUAUUCUUUUAGGUUAUUGUUCUCUAUUGUAUUUUCUCUAUAAAUAAUAUAUGAAUGUCAAUAGUAUUUUCUGAUUUAUUCAUGCAUCUUCACGAAUAAAUACUCAAGUUUCCUUAGUGCACCAAGGGUGUUUGAUAAUAUGCCUACAUCGAGAUGGAUCUUUGAUUCAGCACUAAAGGUUGGUCAAGCUGUGAACUAAUAAUUAUUUUUCCGUUCCUCGCUUCUUAGUGAACUUUUUUGUACUGUUGAAGGGAGAGAGGUAGAAAAGAGAUAUGCGAUACAGAAAUAUCAAGACAAAUAAAUAAAUGUCUUUUUUUCCUUUUCUUAAGUGAAGGAGAAAAGGAAAAAACAUAUGAUUGUUAUUUGUGGAAUUUGAACCUUUCAAUUCCAGGUAGAGUUUAAGUUAUUCAUAAAAUGAAUUCACCCUCAACUCCCUCUAAUUCUAUAUAGAAGCAACAUUACGUGCCUCAUUAUGAAAAAUCAUUUUUUUCCCAUUUUAUCACAGCUAAACUGGAAGGACCAAAGUUAUUUUCUUGCUUCCUGGAAUAAGAAUACAAGAGGGUACUUGAAUGUUUCUCAUAAUAUCAAAUAAUUUAGAAUAAUUGAAGGAUAUUCUCUAGAUUUGGUAACAACAUUUGAUGUUGGACCUAAUUAAUGUGCGGAAUGAUAGUUAAGUUAUCCGUAUGCGGUCAUCAUCAGUUGUAUUGGGUUAUGAAUGCUAACGAUAUGAAAUAAUGCAUUUAUUGCAAAUGAUGUACCUUUACAUUUGAGUUUUAUACAUGAUCAAUGUAAAUAUUUUUUGCACUAUCAGGUUAGCAGAUUUACAUUAACCUUCUUGAUAAAAUGUGCUACCCACAUGUAAAAAUUAUUUACGUUACGUUGACAAUGUAUAUUAUUUAUUAAACUCAUAUGUUUUAUUGUGCUUUCUAUUCUGGCUUUGAAAUUUGGGGCUGAGAAAAAGGUUGGGAUGUUCAUUGUUCAACUAAUUUGAGAUAUUAGACGAUGCUAUUGAUGUAAUGAAAUUGGAAGAUGGUGUAAUUCAAAACAUGGUAAAGUCUCUGAUUUGUAUUCACAAGUUGCAAUUCUUGAUGUUUUUCAUUGUAUUGAGUUAUUUUUCAUAAUAUUGACAAUUUUGACAAAUCUACAAUGAUUUUAACUCCACUAUAUACAUACUUGGUCGCCCAUGGAAGUAGUUUGAAAAGAUAAUUCAGCAAUUAUUUGGAAACCUUUCCUCAUGUUGGGAACCAAAAUGAGGUACAAGAAGCAAUGUAAAGUGUACUUCAAAUAGAACUUGAGUUGUACGAGUAGGGUUAAAAUAGUAAAUUCACUUUAUUCACUCUCUCACCUCUGCUUCUACUCUUUCUUCACUGCCUGACAACAUUGACAACCAUUUUAAACCUUCAACGGAGUUAAACUUUACUUCAGAGUCUCACUCCAACUUCUAAAGUUCUUUCAAUUGUUUACCUGGUAAGUAUUCUUGUGUGGUAUUGGCCCUCUUCCCUUAUGAAUUUUUACUCUUUUUUUUUUCAUUAUUGUGUUUAUGCUUCCUAUUAUUCUACUGAUUUUUCUUAUUUAUAGGUCUUCCACAAUUUUUCUUGAAUUCUUUUGAGUUCUUAUAGAUGCCUCUUGAAAUACAUGCAUAAUUUUGUUUUCAAUAUUUUGCAGUUUCUAACUCUAAAAUACUAAAAAUAUUAGUAGUAUUUUCUUAUCAAUAUAUGAUACUUUUUGCAGAUAAUUAAUGGCUUGAUGCGGUUGCAUGUUUGACGAAAUUUCCCGUGAAGGUAAGACUUGUGUGUUAUGAAGAGAGAUUAGUUACAAGAGUUGAUUGUUUUGGCAGAUGAUUCAAGGUGCUAAUGAAGUUGAACGGUGGGCUUAGGUGAAUAGACAUUUUCCCUUAUAAUAUCUUUUUUCCAUAUGGCAUCUUCCCCAAAAAAAAUUGAGAAAGAAUUUGAGUUGCCGAAUUCUUUGAUGCUGCCAUGAAAUUAGAAGUGAUAAUGUAAUGCUGAAAAUUCAGGGUAAGCUUUCAGUAUUGAUCUUUUUGUUGUUUGAACUACAUUUUUGAAAAAAAUCAGCUACUAAUAUAGUAAGUUGAGGUGGUAUUCAAAGACAAAUUGUUUAAAUACAAAGUCAGAAUAACAAGCAGGUUGAAUCAGGCGAAAAGGUUGAUUUCUGGCUCUCCAAUUUCCAAGUCCUUUAAGGAACCAUUCCACAUUUUCUUAAGAACCUUUAAACUUUUGGCAAUGGACCGUGAUGUUGGUGUCGCAUUUAUUUUUAGCAGUUGUUCUUGGAUAAAAGCUGGAACUUUAAUAUUGAAAAUUCUGUUACUAGAUUGAGUUCUAGAAGUCUGUCAUAUGAUCUUAUGCUUUCUCAAAGUUUUUGUUUCAUGUGUUCAUAUUAGUUAGAUACAAUUGAUAAUGUUAAAAAUAUUUUUCAUCUGAUCAAUCCAGAAAAAAAUGAACAUAAGAAAUGUAGCAAAUAAGUAAUAAUGUUGACGCUAGAAUUUUUUUGAGAAAUGAGUGAGUAAUAAAAUGUCCGGGUAAUGGAAGAAUCCUAUAAGACUAUUAAUUUAACGCAGAAACAAACUCUUUUCUUUAAUCUUGAGUUUGUUGAUCAAGAAUAGCUACUAACUCCUAAACUUUUUUAUAUCAUACGUGAAAUAGGAGUAGUAAUUUGAGUAUGCAAUAUAAUAAUAUUGUGUUAAGAGUGCUGUCAUAUGCUUUUUAUAGAGAAAUAUCAACUUCAUGUUUUCUCUUUUAUUUGUAGCAUAAUAUUCUUUCAUCAGAAUUUUGUGUCAUGGUCAUUAAUGGGUUCCUUCUUUUGCUUAUUGCAUUUGAAGGUUUGGCAAUGAAAUAGAUGAAAAAAAUGGAGGUUUUGCUUGAUCCAAGUAUGAGCUCUAAAAUGUAUGUGUUUAUCUUUCGCAAACAUUUUUAGCUAAUUUAUUCUCACAUUCAUUUGUUUUUGAAUAUUUUUACUCUUUCCAUGUCCCUCAAUAGAAGUAAAACAAACAUUUAUUUUGUAUUUCACGAGAGACAAUUUUGUAUAUGAGAUGUAGGUGAGACGAAGAGAAGCUGACAUUUUUAGUAUGUGCUCUUUCUAUGUCCCCAAAUUAAGAAGCAUAAGGAUAGGUAGAGCAUGAGCUCUUGCAGACUAAGUUGUUGUAUUAUAUGUUAAAUGUAAUAAAAGGAUUUUCUUAGUGGUUUAUACAACAUCAAUGUAAUAUUAUGUUAUUCAAACUUAAGGUCUGAUUUGAUUGUGAACUUUGGGCGGCCCAAAGUAAGAAAUGAACUUUUUGUUUUAGAACUACCAACUUCCAUAUUUGAAUGUGUAGCAGCCAUUAAAAAGAUAUCGAUUGAGUGCUUAUAACUUUAAGGUGGAAUAGAACUACAAAAAGUUAGGGUUGAUGUUCAUAAAAUAAACAAAUGGUGAAGCUUGCCAAUUGUAAAUCAAAUAUGUACAAAUAGUUGAACUGGUCGGUACUGACAGGUACAACCUUUGGUAUUUUUAUACAUAUGUUUGGAAAACACUUGCCUAAAUUUCCAUUUUGCAAAAAUAGGAGGAUUGACAGUAAUCUCAAUUUCAAUUGGUGGAUAGUUAUGAGAGUAAAAAUUAUUAAAUGAGUUUAGAUGAUUAAUAUACAAAGUGAAAACGUGAGAGAUCUACUAUUGAGUUCUUGUCAUAUCAGAGUCAACAACUUUGUUCGAACUGAUCGUUACACGCUUGUGAACAAUUUUGUAAAAAUAACCUAAAAAAUAAAGAGUUACAAGUGACUAUACAAACUCUUACAUGGAACUCUGGUGAACAACUCAUGCCUUUGAUUUGCUUCACUAUAUUAUGUUCGAAUACCACUUGAUUGUAUGAAGAGCUCCUACUUUGUUUUACUCAAUUUAUUCUAGGAUGUGAAAGUGAGUUUGCCUUAUAUGGGUCAAUUUAUGCAUACUGAACGUCAACAUCAGUUGUGGUAUUAGGUGUAUUAAACUUUAUUGCUGAAAUAUUGUAAAGAUGUACAAUUUCUCAAAUGGGUGGAUUUGUUGAUCUCCACAACCAACUAUACAAGAAUAUUGGAAACAAAUGGAAUUGGGUAUUUCAAAACAGGGAAGUCAUAUUUGUCGCGUUGGAAAAUUCGUCGUUUUUGCUUAUUUGUUUCUGGUGUGAAGGCUGAAAACUUUAUCUAAACUAUCAUGUGUGUGUGAGA
rnacentral:lncRNA from 1 species